CUUCAAGUCAGGCUGGUCGAUGCCCGACGCGAUCCGGUACGGAUCGUAGGGCUUAAUCGGGAAUGUGGUGACGACGCAUAUCGUGGUGUCCAAUCCUUAGCUGCCCCCGCAACUGUCAGCGUGGAGCCGGCCCAUCGCAGCCACUGGACAUAAGGUCCGGGAAGGCGGGUUUCGUUGUCGAAGCGCAAGCCAGGAGACCGGUCGACGGAAGCGAAACCUC
rnacentral:ncRNA from 2 species